GAUAUUUUCACUUAUGAGAUUGCAAGCAGAUACAUUUCUGUGGUUGUGAAGUACCAACGUCUAGGCACGCUGCCAUAAUUCAAAGACAGCUAAGAAAUGUGAAUCUCGAAAGUGUGGUCCACUGUCUGCUGGAAAUCUACAAAGGUGGGUUCAGAGAGUCACAGAAAGGACAAGUCACAGGAAACUGUGGGCAUGAAAUCAAAUACUCUAGAUGCACAGCACAGGGUUUGGAGGCUGAAGACUCCUAGGAGCAAGAAAGGAAGGAGAGAACCCAAGGAAACCCUGUCCAGGGUAGAGCGGUGGAAACGUGGCGCUAACAAAGACUUCCUGUUCGGCACAGAAUCCAGGCUGGCAGAGGCGGCUGCAGGGCUGUGGGUGUACUCAGCUGUGCAGAGCUGAUUAUAGAAGAUGAAAGGGCUUGGCAAUUCACUUCAUCUCAUGCUGAAACACUGCUGACAACUGAAAGUGAGGACAGAAGGAUUCAUUUGUUCAACUUCUGUUUUAAAAAGCAGACUUCAAAUGAUACCAUGGAGAAAAGGAGGCGGGGCCCUGGUGUAAUGGUGUAA
rnacentral:lncRNA from 1 species